GAUGAACGCUGACAGAAUGCUUAACACAUGCAAGUCAACUUGAACUUCGGUUUGGGUGGCGGGCGGGUGAGUAACGCGUAAAGAACUUGCCUCACAGCUAGGGACAACAUUUGGAAACGAAUGCUAAUACCUGAUAUUAUGAUUUUAGGGCAUCCUAGAAUUAUGAAAGCUAUAUGCGCUGUGAGAGAGCUUUGCGUCCCAUUAGCUAGUUGGAGAGGUAACGGCUCACCAAGGCGAUGAUGGGUAGCCGGCCUGAGAGGGUGAACGGCCACAAGGGGACUGAGACACGGCCCUUACUCCUACGGGAGGCAACAGUGGGGAAUAUUGGACAAUGGACCAAGAGUCUGAUCCAGCAAUUCUGUGUGCACGAUGAAGUUUUUCGGAAUGUAAAGUGCUUUCAGUUGGGAAGAAAAAAAUGACGGUACCAACAGAAGAAGUGACGGCUAAAUACGUG
rnacentral:rRNA from 1 species